rnacentral:rRNA from 1 species
UACGAAGGGGGCUAGCGUUGUUCGGAUUUACUGGGCGUAAAGCGCACGUAGGCGGAUCGUUAAGUCAGGGGUGAAAUCCUGGGGCUCAACCCCAGAACUGCCUUUGAUACUGGCGAUCUCGAGUCCGGAAGAGGUGAGUGGAACUCCUAGUGUAGAGGUGGAAUUCGUAGAUAUCGAGAGGAACACCGGUGGCGAAGGCGGCCUUCUGGACAGUGACUGACGCUGAGACGCGAAAGCGUGGGGAGCAAACAGG